AGGAGAGCCCGGCGGACAUCCAGAGAAUGUAGUGCCCUUUCUGUUUCCGGUUUUUGGAAGAAGAGGGUGUUGUGUGCCGACGACCCCCUUUUGAAGCUGACAUGCAGUCGAUUACCAUAGAUUUCGGCACCGGGUGUCGCAGCAGGUCGAUAAUGACAUCUUUGGUAUCAAACUCUUUGGUGAAGAACUCGAUGUCGACAAGGACUUCUUCGACUUCCAAGCCGAGCUACAAUCUUGCACCAGUGUAGGAUACGGAGUUCCGCUAGCCGCUUUACUGUGGUGCCUCUUUGGGGGUCACGAAGCGCUCUUCUCCUCUGAAUUGCCUCUCCACUUUUUUU